GAUGAACGCUAGCGGCAGGCUUAACACAUGCAAGUCGAGGGGUAUAGUUCUUCGGAAUUAGAGACCGGCGCACGGGUGCGUAACGCGUAUGCAAUCUACCUUUCACAGAGGGAUAGCCCCAGAGAAAUUUGGAUUAAUACCUCAUAGUAUAGCAGUUUCGCAUGAAACCACUAUUAAAGUCACAACGGUGAAAGAUGAGCAUGCGUCCCAUUAGCUAGUUGGUAAGGUAACGGCUUACCAAGGCAACGAUGGGUAGGGGUCCUGAGAGGGAGAUCCCCCACACUGGUACUGAGACACGGACCAGACUCCUACGGGAGGCAGCAGUGAGGAAUAUUGGACAAUGGGCGCAAGCCUGAUCCAGCCAUGCCGCGUGCAGGAUGACGGUCCUAUGGAUUGUAAACUGCUUUUAUACAGGAAGAAACACUACUUCGUGAAGUAGCUUGACGGUACUGUAAGAAUAAGGAUCGGCUAACUCC
rnacentral:rRNA from 1 species